rnacentral:rRNA from 1 species
CCAGACUCCUACGGGAGGCAGCAGUGGGGGAUAUUGCACAAUGGGGGGAACCCUGGUGCAGCGACGCCGCGUGAGCGAUGAAGUAUUUCGGUAUGUAAAGCUCUAUCAGCAGGGAAGAAAAUGACGGUACCUGACUAAGAAGCCCCGGCUAACUACGUGCCAGCAGCCGCGGUAAUACGUAGGGGGCAAGCGUUAUCCGGAUUUACUGGGUGUAAAGGGGGCGCAGACGGCAGCGCAAGCCAGGAGUGAAAGCCCGGGGCCCAACCCCGGGACUGCUCUUGGAACUGUGCGGCUAGAGUGCGGGAGGGGCAGGCGGAAUUCCUGGUGUAGCGGUGAAAUGCGUAGAUAUCAGGAGGAACACCGGUGGCGAAGGCGGCCUGCUGGACUGCGACUGACGUUGAGGCCCGAAAGCGUGGGGAGCAACCAGGAUUAGAUACCCGAGUA